AUCGAACGCUGGCGGCAGGCCUAACACAUGCAAGUCGAACGAGUGGCGGACGGGUGUGUAAUGUAUUGGAAACUGGCUGAUGGAGGGGGAUAACUACUGUAAACGGUAGCUAAUACCGCUUACCAUCGGUUGUGCCCUGAUGGGUUUAGCUUCUUGGUGUGGUAACGGCUCACCAAGGCGACGAUCCCUAGCUGGUCUGAGAGGAUGACCAGCCACACUGGGACUGAGACACGGUCCAGACUCCUACGGGAGGCAGCAGUGGGGAAUAUUGCGCAAUGGGCGAAAGCCUGAUGCAGCCAUGCCGCGUGAAUGAAGAAGGCCUUCGGGUUGUAAAGUACUUUCGGUAGGGAGGCGUUACCCACAGAGGAAGCACCGGCUAACUCCGUGCCAGCAGCCGCGGUAAUAC
rnacentral:rRNA from 1 species